CUUAACUUUAGUUAUAAUCAAAGGAAGGUGAGAAUAUUAUGAAUUACAAAUACAGAAUAGAAAUGCAAAAUAAAGUAGCUUGCAUGUAAGUAACUGGAACUGUAAGCCAUUAACCAUAUCUUCACUUCGGUGCAGCAAAACAAAAAGCUCCAUACUACAGUUUAUUGAAAAAAGUGGGAAAAUUAUGAAGGAGCAACAGUUGCAAUGGUAUAAAUGUGAAAUUUGCAGUAGCGAAUAGCAACAGUAGCAGUAGCACAAAAUGAAAUUAGCAGCAGCAGUGGCAACUGGAGCAAUGGCAAAAAUAUGAAAUUGGCAGUAGCAAUAGCAACAAUAACAGUAGCAGUAGCAAAAAAUGUGAAAUUGGCUGCAGCAGUGGAAACUGGAGCAGUGGCAAAAAAUAUGAAAUUAGCAAUAACAACAAUAACAGUAGCAGUAGCACAAAAUGUGAAUGGGCAGCAGCAGUGGAAACUGGAGCAGUGGCAAAAAAAAUAUGAAUUUGGCAGUAGCAAAAACAACAAUAGCAGUAGCAGUAGCACAAAAUGUGAAAUUGGCAGAAACAGUGGAAACUGAAGCAGUGGCAAAAAAUAUGAAAUUGGCAGUAGCAAUAACAACAACAGCAAUAACAGUAGCAGAAGCACAAAUGUGAAAUUGGCAGCAGUAGUGGAAACAAACUGGAGCAGUCGCAAAAAAUAUUAAAUUGGCAAUAGCAAUAAAAAUAAUGGCAGUAGCAGUAGCACAAAAUGUGAAAUUGGCAGCAGCAGUGGAAACUGGAGCAGUGGCAAAAAUAUGAAAUUGGCAGUAGCAAUAACAACAAUAGCAGUAGCAGUAGCACAAAAUGUGAAAUUGGCAGCAGCAGCGGUAGCAAAAGCAAAUAUGUGAUAUUGGUAGUACAUGUACAGCAGAAGCAGAAGCAGUGCAGUGGUAAAAAUUGGCAGUAGAAGUUGGCAAAGAUAUCAAAUUGGCAGAGGUCGAUUUUGUUGAUGCGUAUAUUUCCAUUUUCCAAGUCAGAACAUCAGUAUAAAGAUAAGAUAAUAAUUUAUUAUAUAUAGUCAUUUAACUGAAAAUGAACAAGAUUGAAUUUUUGUUUAAAGUGACGUUAUAGCAAUGCAUAAAGUAUAUACUUUUCUCACAACUGCUGAACACUAAUUAUUUAAAAUCUAUUGAAAUUCGUGUACAAUAUUUAGAAUUUUAGGCUUACGUGCCGACUUUUUGCCAGCUGAACCUGUUGAUAAACCUUGAAUCUGUAUCAAUGAAAAUGUAUAUAUUUUAAAUUACAACAGUAGAUGAUAUAUUUAGAAUAAAAACAAUCAAAGGCGG
rnacentral:lncRNA from 1 species